AUUAGAGUUUGAUCCUGGCUCAGAAUCAACGCUGGCGGCGUGCCUAACACAUGCAAGUCGAACGCGAAAGGGGCUUCGGCCCUGAGUAGAGUGGCAAACGGGUGAGUAACGCGUGGGUGACCUGCCCUCGAGUGGGGGAUAACGUUCCGAAAGGAGCGCUAAUACCGCAUGACAUCCUGCCUUUGGACAGGCGGUGAUCAAAGCUGGGGCCGCAAGGCCUGGCGCUUGAGGAGGGGCCCGCGUCCGAUUAGCUAGUUGGUAGGGUAAUGGCCUACCAAGGCGACGAUCGGUAAGCCGGCCUGAGAGGGCGGACGGCCACACUGGACUGAGACACGGCCCAGACUCCUAGGGAGGCAGCAGUGGGGAAUUGUUCGCAAUGGGGCGCAAGCCUGACGACGCAACGCCGCGUGGAGGAUGAAGGUCUUCGGAUUGUAACUCCCUGUUGACCGGAAGAAUGCCUUUGGGGCUAAUACCCCCGAAGG
rnacentral:rRNA from 1 species